rnacentral:tRNA from 1 species
GCCCCAUUAGCUCAGUUUGGGAGAGCAACUGACUCUUAAUCAGUGGGCCGAAGGUUCGAGUCCUUCAUGGGGCA